UGGAGGAGAAAAAAAAAUUUGCAUCAUUUUAAUUACAGAGCAACACAAAAUUCCAAGCAAUAACCAAAAACUAGCAUAAAAGCAUCCAAAUAACAAUAGCAAGAAAUCCAGACUAACCAUAGCAGUUCUAUACCCAACAUGUAAGAUCAAUAUUAGUGAAGUAAGGCUGCAGAUGAGAUUUAUAUAUGAUCACCACCGAAAUGGCUAAUAUCACUGGGGUAAAUGAUAC
rnacentral:misc_RNA from 1 species